ACAUGCAAGUCGAGCGAACAGACGAGGAGCUUGCUCCUCUGACGUUAGCGGCGGACGGGUGAGUAACACGUGGAUAACCUACCUAUAAGACUGGGAUAACUUCGGGAAACCGGAGCUAAUACCGGAUAAUAUAUUGAACCGCAUGGUUCAAUAGUGAAAGACGGUUUUGCUGUCACUUAUAGAUGGAUCCGCGCCGCAUUAGCUAGUUGGUAAGGUAACGGCUUACCAAGGCAACGAUGCGUAGCCGACCUGAGAGGGUGAUCGGCCACACUGGAACUGAGACACGGUCCAGACUCCUACGGGAGGCAGCAGUAGGGAAUCUUCCGCAAUGGGCGAAAGCCUGACGGAGCAACGCCGCGUGAGUGAUGAAGGUCUUCGGAUCGUAAAACUCUGUUAUUAGGGAAGAACAAAUGUGUAAGUAACUAUGCACGUCUUGACGGUACCUAAUCAGAAAGCCACGGCUAACUACGUGCCAGCAGCCGCGGUAAUACGUAGGUGGCAAGCGUUAUCCGGAAUUAUUGGGCGUAAGCGCGCGUAGGCGGUUUUUUAAGUCUGAUGUGAAAGCCCACGGCUCAACCGUGGAGGGUCAUUGGAAACUGGAAAACUUGAGUGCAGAAGAGGAAAGUGGAAUUCCAUGUGUAGCGGUGAAAUGCGCAGAGAUAUGGAGGAACACCAGUGGCGAAGGCGACUUUCUGGUCUGUAAC
rnacentral:rRNA from 1 species